UACACACCGCCCGUCACACCAUGGAAGUCUGCAAUGCCCGAAGCCGGUGGCCUAACCACUUAUGUGGAAGGAGCCGUCUAAGGCAGGGCAGAUGACUGGGGUGAAGUCGUAACAAGGUAAC
rnacentral:rRNA from 1 species